CUGGGCCAAAGGGUGCCACGACCCACCCUUUCAGAAAUGAAAAGGAUAAUUAAGUUUACAAUAAGCAUUUGGCCCAGCCCAAAUAUAUCCGAGUCCAAUACACCGACUACCUGCUGCCACGCACGCUCGUCUCUUCUCCUCCUUUCCCCCAAAUCUACCAAACCUUAUCCUUUCACAAAAAAAAUCUACCAAACCUUAUCUGUUCUUCUUUCCCUAAAUCCACCAGUCCUUUGUUCUCCUCCUUUUCCCAAAUCAACCAGGUCUUUCACUCGCUUCUCGCUGCUGCCAACCGCUGGCCGCCGGCCUUGCCAACUUCCGCUGCCCUCCGUAGCGAGGGCCCUCCAGGCCGCCAUGACGGGUGUGGUGUGGGGUGUCUGCUGAUGUUUGCUGCUUCUUCUCCUUCCCUCACUACCUUCUCCGCUCGUGUUGCCUGCUGCCGUGCUGCGGACCACUGCUGCUGCCGCCGACUGAUAAACUAAUCGGUGAACUGUUGUUGAAGGGCCGAAGGAGCAAGACUGCUGCAAGAGGAAGGUAACACUGGCGAAACAGCAAACCAUGGUCCAGGAGAGCAUAUCUGUAGUUAUUGGCCAUAUGCAGGCAUCUUUUGGUCAGUCUGGUGUGUUCUAUAAUUGUGGCCAUGGACAACUUUUGGCCAGUCCGAUGUAUUCUACAGUUGAGGCAAUGGAGCACUUUUGGCCAGUCUGGUGUAUUCUAUAGUUGUGGCAAUGGAGUGGUCAUUAUCCACAAUACCAGGGAUGUUACAGGGUCGGUGAUGGACGGACGAGCGGCGUCGUUCUCGGGCACAAAUCGUCGGCCGCGGAGGCAGGCAGUCAUUGGUGUAGCGGACUCAAACCAGCAGGUCGCCAGCGGCUAUGGCGGUGCGGCCGGCAGCGGGGUCGGGGAUGGGCCGACGGGUGGCGGCGGCACGUUUCAGGGCGAAAAUCGCUGGUGUGCGGGUGGCGGCGGUCGCGCGGAAGCCAAAUAAAUGCGGUUGGGCAGUUGGCGUGCAUCCAUGAGUUUUACAUCUCCUUUAGGUGGAGAUGUAAAUUUCCAUUGCGAGGUGUUGUAUUUUACAUCCAUGAGCCUCCCGGAGAUGUAAUUUUAUUUUUUUCAUCAACAUCGUCUAUUGGAGAUGGGUUUUUGUGCCUCAGAGAUGUUUUUUUUUUUGCAUCUACAUCAUCUGUUGGGGAGGGGGUUUUGUGCCUCGAUAUGCAAAAGUUAGUUAUUUUUACAUCUACAUCAUCUAUUGGAGAUGCUCUAAACAAUGAACCAAAGAACCGUAAUAGCAACCAAAAUAAAUCAAUAUCAUAAUUUGAAAUGUUUCAUCCUUAGACCAUGACCUUGUAAGCCGCGAACCGUGCAACCACCGGAGAUAAUUGAUACUCACUGCUUGCUAGACUGAUUAAGUAAGUUCGAAGAAGCAAAACGUAGAUUAAUAAAAAAUUAGAAUUAUUUAUAUUUUCGAUCUGUG
rnacentral:rRNA from 1 species